GAGAGAGCAACAAGCCAUGGAGGCUCACGGCUUGGACAUGGAAAAAAUCAAGUCCAAAUUUUGCCUCUCCAAAAUUAAUUCUUUGGUACAAACCCACUAAUUAGAGGUCCCUAAGUAACGUGGAAGUGUCGUUGGAGCGAGCAAGCCAUCAAAUUUGUGGAUUUCAAACCCUAGCCUAAUGGUGGAGUAAAGAAGAAAUACCUUGGGGAGCCCGAGGCGUAGAUCGGAAAUUACUUUAGAUUGGCCAUCUUGGAGUGCGUACGAGGUACAGACGCACAGUUUGGUGAUUCACCAGUUUAGGACAUCCCCAUUCUGCGGUUUGGAGUGCUCUUCUCAUUUCAGAGCAUAUAUGUUGAUAUAUAUUUUGUUCGCUAUGUAUGUAUAUGUUUGUUCAGGGGUACGGCGGGGCCCUGUCCCGCCAUAUGUUUUGAUCGGUCUAUUUAGAGGUCUGUAGACGUAUUUGUGGGUGUGUGUGCCUACUUCUGUACAGUUGUGUUUAUAUGAUUCUAUUCGUUAUGGCAGCCUUGUCGGCGUGCAUUUGU